AGAGUUUGAUCAUGGCUCAGAACGAACGCUGGCGGCGUGGAUAAGACAUGCAAGUCGAACGGGUUUAGUUCGGUAGCAAUACUGGAUUGAGCCAGUGGCGAACGGGUGCGUAACACGUGAGUCAUCUACCUGAAAGUGGGGGAUAGCUCGCCGAAAGGCGAAUUAAUACCGCAUGUGCCCCGAAGCAAUUCGGGGUAAAGCCGGGGUAACCUGGCGCUUUUAGAGGAACUCGCGGCCUAUCAGCUUGUUGGUAAGGUAACGGCUUACCAAGGCCUCGACGGGUAGCUGGUCUGAGAGGACGACCAGCCACACUGGAACUGAGACACGGUCCAGACACCUACGGGUAGCAGCAGUCGAGAAUUUUUCUCAAUGGGGGAAACCCUGAAGGAGCGACGCCGCGUGGAGGAUGAAUGCUUUCGGGUUGUAAACUCCUGUCAUUUGGGAACAAAGCCUUACGUUAACUGCGUGGAGGUUUGAUGGUACCAGAAGAGGAAGAGACGGCUAACUCUGUGCCAGCAGCCGCGGUAAUACAGAGGUCUCAAGCGUUGUUCGGAUUCAUUGGGCGUAAAGGGCGCGUAGGCUGCGGGGCAAGUCGGGUGUGAAAUCUCAGAGCUCAACUCUGAAACUGCACUCGAUACUGCUUUGCUUGAGGACUGGAGAGGAGAUUGGAAUUCACGGUGUAGCAGUGAAAUGCGUAGAUAUCGUGAGGAAGACCAGUGGCGAAGGCGGAUCUCUGGACAGUUCCUGACGCUGAGGCGCGAAGGCCAGGGGAGCAAACGGGAUUAGAUACCCCGGUAGUCCUGGCAGUAAACGGUGCACGUUUGGUGUGCGCGGAUUCGACCCCGUGCGUGCCGGAGCUAACGCGUUAACGUGCCGCCUGAGGAGUACGGUCGCAGAUUAAACUCAAGAAAUUGACGGGGGCCCGCACAGCGGUGGAGUAUGUGGCUUAAUUCGAUGCACGCGAAGAACCUUACCUGGGCUUGACAUGCAAUGUUGU
rnacentral:rRNA from 1 species